rfam:Beta vulgaris subsp. vulgaris Bvchr2.sca018.con0066.1, whole genome shotgun sequence.
AGGAGCCUGUGACGACAUUCGAAUUUCGCCUACAUUGUCUGAUGUUACUAUGAUAUAACUAUCUGUAUGUUGUAUCCGAGGCUUUU